rnacentral:rRNA from 1 species
AGCAGCCGCGGUAAUUCCAGCUCCAAUAGCGUAUAUUAAAGUUGUUGCAGUUAAAAAGCUCGUAGUUGAAUUUCGGGGUCAGUAGGUUGGUCGUGCCACCGGUACGUACUGGUCUCACUGAUUCCUCCUUCCUGAUGAGCUGUAAUGCCAUUAAUUUGGUGUUGCAGGAAAUCUGGACUGUUACUUUGAAAAAAUUAGAGUGUUUAAAGCAGGCUAACGCUUGAAUACAUUAGCAUGGAAUAAUGAAAUAGGACGUUCGAUCCUAUUUUGUUGGUUUCUAGGAUUGACGUAAUGAUUAAUAGGGAUAGUUGGGGGCAUUAGUAUUCAAUUGUCAGAGGUGAAAUUCCUGGAUUUAUUGAAGACUAACUACUGCGAAAGCAUUUGCCAAGGAUGUUUUCAUUAAUCAAGAACGAAAGUUAGGGGAUCGAAGACGAUCAGAUACCGUCGUAG